UCUCCUGGAGAAAGCAUCACAUGUCAUUUACUGAUGGGUGGGGCCGCCUCUGGGCUGGUGGUCCUGGGUCCUAUAAGGAAGCAGGCUGAGCAAGCCAUAGGGAGCAAGCCAAUAAGCAACAUGCCUCCUUGGCCUCUGGCUGCUGCCUCCAGGUUCCUGCCCGGUUUGAGUUCCUGACUUUCACUGAUCAUUUACGGAAGUAGAAGCCCAGUAAGCCCUCUCUCCCUUGCUUUUCGGUCUUGGUGUUUGAUCAUAGCAAUAGUAACCCUCACUAGGACAGCACUCAAGUCCUGCUUGCUUCUGCUUGCCAUUACCAGUGAGUCCUUUCACCUGGCUGGGUCAAGGGUCCCGAGUUAUGAUGUCACUACUCUGAUUAAGUAGUGCAGAGUUAUAACUGAGUUUUCCUUUUGUACGUUUCCAGUGAUGUGUUCUACUUCUUCUGUCUAGGAGAGAGUGUCCCCACAAAGGGCUGUGCACUGAAGGUGUGCUCCCCACUGCCAGCAGUGUCCAGAGAGGCCCUUUGGGAAGUGUUGAUACUGUAGGUUCUGCCUUUAUGAAUGAACUGAUCACGGCAGACUCAAAACCUGGGUGCCUGGGGAUCUGGAGCUGCAGAAAGAGGAAGUCAGUUGUGGGGCCAGGGUAGGAGCAUGUCUGUCCCUCUCUGUUACUGUUCCCCACCUCCCCCCAGCCAUGCAGGGUCUUCUGGGAAAGCAGGCCUCCCUGCUGCUCUCUGAAGCCAGGCCUGCCUUCAUCUGCUGUGCUUGGAUCUGGAGGCUCUGCUGGCAGUGCUCUGUGCUAAUGUGGAGUUUCCAUGCUGAGAACAUCCAUGGUUUUGUUCAUCUCUCUACGACAGACAAUGCUGUCUAAGAGCCAUUUUCCUCUUGCCAAAACAGCAUUGCUCACACUUGACAGAAUGCUUCAUAGGGAGGCUCUCUGUGGCUAUAUUGGAAAUUAAAGUGAAGCAGUCCUGGAUACAAAGGCAAGGACCCAUGUGCGCUUUAAUUCUCUCUCUUCGUCCUGCCUUGAAUGGAGAUGUGAUGUCUGGAUGUGGCGGCUAUCUUGCAACCGCGGGGGAAGAGGAGCCCUGUAUACUCUGGAUGGCCCAUGGGGAAAAUGGAAGCAUUUGUUUUGGUGGCGUCAGCACACAGUGGCUCCAUCCCUGGUCGACGAUGCCUUGUGUAUGGUUCCCAUAAAUUCUGACUUCAGACAUCAGUGAGGUUCCUGUCGCUUUUAUUUCCUAUUAUUAGCUACCUGUCCAGUGACAAAAUGCCUAGCAGGAGUCAGCUGAGGGGAGGCAGCAGUUACUUCGGCUCCUAGUUCUCAGGGCCUAUCAUGGAGGAGCGGGAGGCGGCUGGAGCGCAGAGAGCGAUGCUCAGCUCACCCACUCUUCCUUUUUAUCCGGCUUGGGGCUCCAGCCUGCAUUGGGGCAGGGAUGCACCCUGUACACAUACCCAAAGGUGUGUCUCCUAGGUGAUUAAAUUCAGUCAGGUUGACAGUAAAUGUCAGCUAUGGCCCCUGCCCCUGCCCCUACCCCUACCCACUUUAUCUACUGAGCCUAUGUAAAUUAGAAGUCCCAUCUGUGGUUGGACAGCAGAAAUGGGUGCAUCUGCCCACCUGACCAUCGCCUCGAUCUUCUUUUUGUACUUGGCAUCGAUUUUGUUGCGGUAUUCGGGCCUCAUCAGCAUAGCCGCAAAGCUAAAGGCAGAGUUCUUCAGGCCCGCCCGGUGGCACUCAAUCACAGUUGAUGUCAGGAUAGGCACGAUGUCUGCAGGACACGCAGGGAGCAGAAGGGAGACAGGCGAGAGCACUGUUAGUCUGGGCCACACGAGCCACAUCUCCAAAACAAACCCAAGGAGGACGGGGUGGUGAGUUGCGGCACAGGCCAACUCUGGCCCUCUGGCUUUUGUAUGGCCCAGGAACUGGUUGAAGGAAAUAACAGUAAUAUUUUGUGUGAUGUGUUAAAGCUAUAUGAGGUUCAGAUUUCUGUGUCCAGAAGUUAAAGCUCCAUUGGAGCUCAGCCCCAGUCACACCACGGGGUGACUGACUCGUUGUGACAGACCAAGUGGCUUAAAAUGUCUAACAUCUGGCUCUCUACAGCAAGUUUGCUGACACCUGUCACACUGUGUGAAAAAGUCUGUUCAUUUAAGAAUGUUCUAAAAACAGUUCUGGGAGAAAGGGACCUUUCCCAGAAGCCAGGCUUGAGAUGAUAGUGUUAGACAAUGUGAUCUUGGGCACACAUUACUUCCCUUUGACCUGUCAGGCAGGGGGGUCCCGUGUGACAAACUGACAGUGAAAACCCUGGCACACACGCUUCAGGCCUGGCAACGCUAUGACUCGGGUUCCGCGUCAUGCGCAGAGGGGACUCAGAAGUGUCUGUCUGCACUUGGUUUCCACUGGGCUUUUUCCCGGUCAUCUUGCUCUCCCGCCAGCCUUUUCCCUUUGGUGUAAUAACCUUAGUGACUGCACUACUGUGGGCUGAGCCUUGCAGAGUUUCUGGGCGAAGUAUUAAAUUCUGGGGUGGUCGUGGGGACCCCAGCCUGCCACUUUCUGGAUUGCUAUGGAGAUAAAUGACCUGACAACACAGCGAGCUCUGAACAUGCCUGGUUGGGGGAGUGCACACCUCAGCGCUGAGCCCCAAGUGUGCACAGAGCUCCGCUGAGCCCCAAGUGUGCACAGAGCUCCGCUGAGAUAGGACUUACGGGCCGGGAACUUGCUGAUGUUGUUGGCCACUCGAAUGAGCAUGCGUGCCCCCUUCAUAUGAUCUCUGCUCUUAACAUGAAUCUGAAAUAAAUGACAUUAAUUCUUGCAGCCUUA